rnacentral:lncRNA from 1 species
AGCGCGGCGGCGGCGGUAAGGCGGUGAUUGGCCCGCAGCGCAUCGCGUCAUAGCCGUCACUCGGUCACUUUCGUCACGACUAGUACACUUCCAGUAAAGGACAUUGCCACCCGUUGGGCCCCUUAUUUGUGAUAGAGUGUCAAGAAUAUUUUAUUAUUAAAAAUCAAGUCCUAAUUUUAUAAAACUAACUAUUUUUUUUCAGAAUUUCUUGUACCCUAGCAUUGAAAAACAUAAUUAAUAUUUAUUUUAUUGAAUCUAAGCUAGUUCCGCCAUUAAAACUUAACGUGAAUGUUGCCAGGUAGACGACAGACUAUCUCAUUUAAAUGAACGAGGUGAUCGAUUGAAAAUAUCGAUAUAAUAUAUAGCAUUUUUCUCUUAUAUCAAAAUGUACAAGUAUAUAUAUUAAGUAUGCACUCGUAAAUAGUAAACAAGAAAAGAAGAAAGAAAAACUGUUUAUAACUGUUGCACAAACAAUAAAAUAUCAACACUAACAAAAGUCACCACUGAACUAUAUCUAUAAAACGGUUACACCUAACACCAUACAUGGAAUACAACAAUAACACAAUAAUUAGUAAAUGAUAUUAUUUAUAACAAAUCGAUUUAGAAAAUCGAUUAACAAAAUAUUUAACAUGGUAACAUCUACUCGGAACGCGAGUCUAUCUGUCAAAUCAAUACGUCAUUCAAAUUGUUUUCGUGCCGGUUGUUAUGCGUAGAGUUGAAUUUAUUCCUCCGUAUUUGCUUCUGAUAGUUACAAUUUGCGUAAAAACUGUCGAGCUAAUCGUUUUCGUGCCUCCAGUGGUUUUUUUUUAGAUAUUGGACUCUUUUCUUAAUGAUAAGUGAGCACAUUGACUCGUGAGCAUUGGACUCUUGUUUUUAGUGAUAUUGUUGUUUUACUCCGGAAAAAUGUCUGCACCUGGUAGAAGUCGAGUAAACUACUCUUUGUCUCGCCAGUGUGUUAAUUUCUCUUUACGUAUAGGGCCUAAUCUUCGUAGACGUUAAAUUGAAGAAAUAGAUGAACCAAUGCUUAUCCUUCUAAACACCUACAUUGGUAAGUUUGUUUUAUUAUGUUUGUGGAUUUCACACGUCUCUAAACUACCUUACAUUUUAUUUUGUCAUUUUUUCCAGAUAUCUUCUGAUGAUAUCCUGUGUGUGAAAUGUUUUGUAUUAUUACAAAACCAGACAGCAUCUAACUCAAAUCUGUCACUUGUAUCCCCUGCUCGUGGACACCUAAACAUAUGCUACGCAUGUGGCUUGUCAACAGCAAGUCGCAGAACUCAUAGAGUCAGUCAAGAUAGUUCCUCAAAGGAAUGUUAUACUAAGAUGGACACCAGUACAUCACGUGUUGCAUUUGGAACGAGUUUGUGUUCCUUGUUGGGCGGCUGCAUCAAGACAAGUCCGGAGGCAACCCGUUGCUGGCAGUAGCCAACACACUGUGGAGUCUGCACCGGAGACUGGUAUCAUGGAUGGAAACAUAAUUACAGAUAUGAUGAUUCCUGUACCACCACCACUGCCACCGCUUUAAUGAUAUAAGCGCUCCAGCACAAUUUCUAGACAACAUAUUCCUUGAAGAAUAAAUGUCUAUUAUUUUAA